GCGAACGAGAAUACGGACGCGCAAGGUAAGUGAACUCCGAACUUACCCUUUAGUUUGGUAAUGUAUUUAUGUUAUACGUUAAUUGUUGAAUGCCAUGUAAGAAGAUAUGGAUCUAUGCCAUUACUAAGUUAAGUUGUUAAUGGAAUGGGUUGGAAGUGGUUAAGAAAGAGAUUCGAUUAGGUUUGGGUAAGAAAGGGAACCUACAUAAUGAAAUUUAUGUUUGAAUGAAUAAGAUGAGUUAUGUGUAUUUUAGGACAUAUUCAUAUAAACGGAAGCUAAUGUACUAAUCGUUUUUCUAUUGAGAAUUAAUAUGAAGUGUAGGCAUGUUAACAAAGGAAGU
rnacentral:lncRNA from 1 species